GCCCGUACCGUAAACCGACACAGGUGGGUGGGAUGAGUAUUCUAAGGCGCGUGGAAGAACUCUCUUCAAGGAACUCUGCAAAAUAGCACCGUAUCUUCGGUAUAAGGUGUGCCUAACUUUGUGAAGGAUUUACUCCGUAAGCAUUGAAGGUUACAACAAAGAGUCCCUCCCGACUGUUUACCAAAAACACAGCACUCUGCUAACUCGUAAGAGGAUGUAUAGGGUGUGACGCCUGCCCGGUGCUCGAAGGUUAAUUGAUGACGUUAGCUCUGCGAAGCGUUUGAUCGAAGCCCGAGUAAACGGCGGCCGUAACUAUAACGGUCCUAAGGUAGCGAAAUUCCUUGUCGAUUAAAUAUCGACCUGCAUGAAUGGCGUAACGAGAUGGGAGCUGUCUCGAAGAGGGAUCCAGUGAAAUUGUAGUGGAGGUGAAAAUUCCUCCUACCCGCGGCAAGACGGAAAGACCCCGUGGACCUUUACUACAGCUUGACACUGCUAUUGGGAUAAAAAUGUGCAGGAUAGGUGGGAGGCUUUGAUCCAUAGACGCCAGUUUAUGGUGAGCCGUUGUUGAGAUACCACUCUUUUUUAUUCUGAUAGCUAACUAGCUUGAGUUAUCCUCAAGUAGGACAAUGUCUGGUGGGUAGUUUGACUGGGGCGGUCGCCUCCCAAAAUGUAACGGAGGCUUACAAAGGUUGGCUCAGAACGGUUGGAAAUCGUUCGCAGAGUAUAAAGGCAAAAGCCAGCUUAACUGCGAGACAUACACGUCAAGCAGGGACGAAAGUCGGUCUUAGUGAUCCGGUGGUUCUGUGUGGAAGGGCCAUCGCUCAAAGGAUAAAAGGUACCCCGGGGAUAACAGGCUGAUCUCCCCCAAGAGCUCACAUCGACGGGGAGGUUUGGCACCUCGAUGUCGGCUCAUCGCAUCCUGGGGCUGGAGCAGGUCCCAAGGGUAUGGCUGUUCGCCAUUUAAAGCGGUACGCGAGCUGGGUUCAGAACGUCGUGAGACAGUUCGGUCCCUAUCUGCCGUGGGCGUAAGAAGAUUGAGGAGAGUUGACCCUAGUACGAGAGGACCGGGUUGAACCGACCACUGGUGUACCAGUUAUCCUGCCAAGGGUAGCGCUGGGUAGCUAUGUCGGGAUGUGAUAACCGCUGAAAGCAUCUAAGCAGGAAGCCAACUCCAAGAUGAAUCUUCUUUUAAGAGCUCUUAUAGACUAUAAGUUUGAUAGGCUGGGUGUGUAAUGGAUGAAAGUCCUUUAGCUGACCAGUACUAAUAGCUCGUCUGCUUAUCUUU
rnacentral:rRNA from 1 species